UACGGGGGGAGCAAGCGUUGUUCGGAUUUACUGGGCGUAAAGGGCGCGUAGGCGGUCAGCACAAGUCAGUUGUGAAAUCUCCGGGCUUAACUCGGAAAGGUCAACUGAUACUGCUCGGCUAGAGUGCGGAAGGGGCAACUGGAAUUCUUGGUGUAGCGGUGAAAUGCGUAGAUAUCAAGAGGAACACCUGCGGCGAAGGCGGGUUGCUGGGCCGACACUGACGCUGAUGCGCGAAAGCUAGGGGAGCGAACGGG
rnacentral:rRNA from 1 species